rnacentral:rRNA from 1 species
GAUGAACGCUGGCGGCGUGCCUAAUACAUGCAAGUCGAGCGAACAGACGAGGAGCUUGCUCCUCUGACGUUAGCGGCGGACGGGUGAGUAACACGUGGAUAACCUACCUAUAAGACUGGGAUAACUUCGGGAAACCGGAGCUAAUACCGGAUAAUAUAUUGAACCGCAUGGUUCAAUAGUGAAAGACGGUUUUGCUGUCACUUAUAGAUGGAUCCGCGCCGCAUUAGCUAGUUGGUAAGGUAACGGCUUACCAAGGCAACGAUGCGUAGCCGACCUGAGAGGGGGUUCGGCCACACGGAAAUGAGGACCCGGCCCGACUCCCUAGGGAGGGAGCAGGAGGGAAUCUUUCGCAAAGGGGGAAAACCUUACGGAGCAACGCCGGGGGAGGUAAGAAGGGUCUCGGAUCGGAAAACCCUGUUAUUAGGGAAAAAAAAAAGGGUAAGUAAACAUUCACGUCUUUACGGUACCCUAUCAGAAAGCCCCGGCUAACUUCGGG